AACUUGUUCUUGUUUGGUUAGGGAGCAGCUAUGGAAGGCACGCAUCAGUAAUUGUAUGUUUACUCAAUUAUGCUAAUUGAUUAUGUGAUUUACAUGGAUUCUGACAAUUAUGGUUUUUUCGCAUGUCAAUUAGAUUGUUCACAACCUUACAAGUUUUACAUAUAACACUUAUCCUGGUAUCCUUUACUUCAAAGACAAUUUCAUACAAGGAAACAUAUCAUAUCUUCCAUGAUUCGCGCUUCCUAUUAUUAUUGAAAUGAACAUGAGCCACAUGAUUAAUGCAUGCGUGGCAUGUACGUGUAAAGUGUAAGUUCUUACCUGUAACACUUAUCCUAAUUUCCUUAAUUUUGAAGGUAAUUACGUACGUAUGGAAAUAAAUCAUAUCUCAUACGAUUCACCAAAUAAAUCACAAUAAUUGCACCAUAAUUUCUUCAUUUCUUAUGCCUAAUCUCCUCUUAUAAAUAGGUUCUCUUCUGGCAAACCAUUCUCAUCAAUCCUCAUCCUAGAAACCAAAACACAAACCAAUUCUUAUAACCAUACAUACUCUCUAAACUUCUAUAGUUUCGAGUUAGUCAGUACAUCGUUUUAAUGGUCAUGUUGGCCAUAGAGCGAUGGUUAGUAAGAAAGAAAAAGAGAAGAAAGCAGAUUCAUAGAAUGACAUUCACCAGCUUCACCGACAUUGCGUCAACGAUUUACCAAAUUAUACUCUCAUGGCUACGAGCUAUGGAGUUGGCAUCUGCCUACGCUGUUGCGAAGCAGCGAAGGUAGCAACAUUCGUGUGGUCGUUAACUCUUAUAGCUCCAACAUUUCUCCCUUCUACAUGCCGCCCUGGUGUCUGAAAGGCUUAGGGGUAAGAGGAAGGAGUCGGGGGAGUUCGGAGAUGGUAAUUGGACGACACAGCUGAGUUGGAUCCUUUUGACAAGGGAAGUUCGCAAGGCUCAAGAGCUCUGCCCUACUUCUUCAAGGUCAUGCCUCUCAGGAAAAGUGUCUCAUGGUAGACCACCCACCUAUUGGGUUAGGUUAGGUGUUUUUUUUGGAGGGCAACAAUUUUGCAAGCAAGGUUUGCAUGUUACACCUCCCAAGAAUCGACCAAUCCAAGAUCGGUCUCUAACCAUCCAAUAUACCACCAGUUAUUAGAGAAUACGACCAUACUGAAUGAAAUGCCAUCACAACGGCAUAAAAUUAUGCCGCAACUCCAUUUCUACCUAAAUUACAUGACACAAUUAAGAUGUUAUGUAAGGAAGAAAUGACGACAGAGGAUAUAAAUAAACGCAUCAAAGCUAGAAAUAUGAUUUUUCAGCCAAUAAUGUAACCUUCAAAAUAUGUAAACCAUAUCAAUAACUUUAGAUAAAUUAUCAUGAUUCAUUGAUUCAUGACCA